AACGAACGCUGGCGGCAGGCCUAACACAUGCAAGUCGAGCGCGCCCUUCGGGGUGAGCGGCGGACGGGUGAGUAACGCGUGGGAACGUGCCCUUUUCUACGGAAUAGCCUCGGGAAACUGAGAGUAAUACCGUAUACGCCCUUUGGGGGAAAGAUUUAUCGGAAAAGGAUCGGCCCGCGUUGGAUUAGGUAGUUGGUGGGGUAAUGGCCUACCAAGCCGACGAUCCAUAGCUGGUUUGAGAGGAUGAUCAGCCACACUGGGACUGAGACACGGCCCAGACUCCUACGGGAGGCAGCAGUGGGGAAUCUUAGACAAUGGGGGCAACCCUGAUCUAGCCAUGCCGCGUGAGGGAUGAAGGCCUUAGGGUUGUAAAGCUCUUUCAGCUGGGAAGAUAAUGACGGUACCAGCAGAAGAAGCCCCGGCUAACUCCGUG
rnacentral:rRNA from 1 species